rnacentral:rRNA from 1 species
GACGAACGCUGGCGGCGUGCUUAACACAUGCAAGUCUUACGAGAAAAGGGUAGCAAUAUCCUGAGUAAAGUGGCGCACGGGUGAGUAACACGUAGGCAAUUUGCCUUUAGGACGGGAACAACCCCGGGAAACCGGGGCUAAUACCCGAUGAUGCAGCGGCUCCGCAUGGAGACAGUUGUUAAACCCCGCAAGGGGCCUAUUGAUGAGCCUGCGUCUGAUUAGCUAGUUGGNGAGGUAACGGCCCACCAAGGCAACGAUCAGUAGCUGGUCUGAGAGGAUGAUCAGCCACACUGGAACUGAGACACGGUCCAGACUCCUACGGGAGGCAGCAGUGAGGAAUAUUGCGCAAUGGCCGAAAGGCUGACGCAGCGACGCCGCGUGAAGGAUGAAGUUCGUUAG